rnacentral:rRNA from 1 species
AUUGACCGCUGGCGGCAGGCCUAACACAUGCAAGUCGUACGAGUGGCGGACGGGUGAGUAAUGUCUGGGAAACUGCCUGAUGAGGGGGGAUAACUACUGGAAACGGUAGCUGAUACCGCAUACCAUCAGAUGUGCCCAACUGGGAUUAGCUUGUUGGUGGGGUCCCGGCUCACCAAGGCGACGAUCCCUAGCUGGUCUGGGAGGAUGAACAGCCAGAAUGGAACUGAGACACGGGCCAGACUCCUACGUGAGGUGGCAGGGGGGGAUAUUGCACAAGGGGCUCAAGCAGUAGGCAGCCAUGCCGGGUGUAUGAAGAAAGCCGUCGGGUUGUAAAAUACUUGCAGCGGGGAGGCGUUACCCGCAGAAGAUGCACCGGCUAAUUCCGUGACAGCAGCCGCGGUAAUAC